rnacentral:rRNA from 1 species
AACGUAGGAGGCGAACGUUAUCCGGAUUUACUGGGCGUAAAGCGCGUGCAGGUGGUCUGUUAAGUCGUGCGUGAAAGCUCCCUGGCUCAACCGGGAGAGGUCGUGCGAUACUGACAGACUUGAGACAGAGAGAGGCAAGUGGAAUUCCGGGUGUAGUGGUGAAAUGCGUAGAUAUCCGGAGGAACACCAGUGGCGAAGGCGGCUUGCUGGCUCUGUUCUGACACUCAGACGCGAAAGCAUGGGGAGCGAACGGG